GGGAAUUUAAGCCAAGGGAAAAAAUAAUUAUUUUAUGUGGCCUGAAUUUUGGAUAUGUCUCAUGGACUCGAAUUAUGACUUAACUCGAAAAGUUCCGUAUUAUGACCUAAAUGGAAAAUUUUGUAAGGUCAGUGGCGGAAAAUAUUGUAUUUUCUACCUAUUGCGAUAGUAUUCUAAGAAAUUUGGAAAGCACAUUGUGUUAGGGUUUAAAAGUUCUAUGCGAUUGUAUUUUGCUUUUUUUUUUUUUAUCAUUGUA
rnacentral:misc_RNA from 1 species